UGCUUUAUAGACUUUGUCCACUGCUC
rnacentral:piRNA from 1 species